UACGGAGGGAGCUAGCGUUGUUCGGAAUUACUGGGCGUAAAGCGCGCGUAGGCGGCUUUGUAAGUUAGAGGUGAAAGCCCGGGGCUCAACCCCGGAACUGCCUUUAAGACUGCAUCGCUUGAAUCCGGGAGAGGUGAGUGGAAUUCCGAGUGUAGAGGUGAAAUUCGUAGAUAUUCGGAAGAACACCAGUGGCGAAGGCGGCUCACUGGACCGGCAUUGACGCGUGAGGCACGGAAAGCGUGGGGAG
rnacentral:rRNA from 1 species